GGUGAGAUGGCCGAGCGGUCUAAGGCGCUAGCUUCAGGUACAACAUGUAUUCUGCUAGUCCGAAAGGGCAGGGGUUCGAAUCCCCUUCUCAUCA